rnacentral:rRNA from 1 species
AGAGUUUGAUCCUGGCUCAUGAUGAACGCUAGCUACAGGCUUAACACAUGCAAGUCGAGGGGCAGCAGAUCGAAAGCUUGCUUUUGAUGCUGGCGACCGGCGCACGGGUGAGUAACGCGUAUCCAACCUUCCCUAUAGUAGAGAAUAGCCCGGCGAAAGUCGGAUUAAUGCUCUAUGUUGUAUUUAGAGGACAUCUGAAGAAUACCAAAGGUUUACCGCUAUAGGAUGGGGAUGCGUCUGAUUAGGUAGUAGGCGGGGUAACGGCCCACCUAGCCGACGAUCAGUAGGGGUUCUGAGAGGAAGGUCCCCCACAUUGGAACUGAGACACGGUCCAAACUCCUACGGGAGGCAGCAGUGAGGAAUAUUGGUCAAUGGACGAAAGUCUGAACCAGCCAAGUAGCGUGCAGGAUGACGGCCCUAUGGGUUGUAAACUGCUUUUAUAUAGGGAUAAAGUCGGGGACGUGUCCCCGUUUGUAGGUACUAUAUGAAUAAGGACCGGCUAAUUCCGUGCCAGCAGCCGCGGUAAUACGGAAGGUCCAGGCGUUAUCCGGAUUUAUUGGGUUUAAAGGGAGCGCAGCUGAUGAUUAAGCGUGACGUGAAAUGUAGCCGCUCAACGGCUGAACUGCGUCGCGAACUGGUUAUCUUGAGUGAGUUCGAUGUUGGCGGAAAUUCGUGUGUAGCGUGGAAAUUGCUAGAUUAUCACGAGAACUCCGAUUGCGAAGGCAGCCAACAAGGCCUUUACUGACGCUAAAGCUCGAAGG